rnacentral:rRNA from 1 species
UACGGAGGGUGCGAGCGUUAAUCGGAAUUACUGGGCGUAAAGGGUGCGUAGGUGGUUAAUUAAGUUAGAUGUAAAAGCCCUGGGCUUAACCUGGGAUUGAGAUUUAAUACUGAUUGACUGGAGUAUUGGAGAGGGUAGUGGAAUUUCCGGUGUAGCGGUGAAAUGCGUAGAUAUCGGGAGGAACAUCAAUGGCGAAGGCAGCCGCCUGGGCCUGGACUGACACUGAGGCACGAAAGCGUGGGUAGCAAACAGG